UACGUGGGGGGCAAGCGUUGUUCGGAAUUACUGGGCGUAAAGGGCGCGUAGGCGGCACGGCAAGUCAGGAGUGAAAGCCCUGGGCUCAACCCGGGAACUGCUUUUGAAACUGCCGAGCUAGAGUGCGGAAGGGGCAACUGGAAUUCCCAGUGUAGCGGUGAAAUGCGUAGAUAUUGGGAAGAACACCUGAGGCGAAGGCGGGUUGCUGGGCCGACACUGACGCUGAGGCGCGAAAGCCAGGGGAGCGAACGGG
rnacentral:rRNA from 1 species